rnacentral:lncRNA from 1 species
UGGCUGGCUUUAAUGGAAAAUCACCAUAAAGAUUAACGCCCAUCACAGCCCACUAGAAAUGGCAAGGCAAAAAAUGGCAUCCAAGCAUGCAGAUGUGGUCAGAACUGCAGAGGAAAUUGGGAGUGUUCAGAAAUGGAAAAAAAAAAGAGCAGGGAAGGUUUACAGAAAAUCCCAG